rnacentral:rRNA from 1 species
UACGAAGGGGGGCUAGCGUUGCUCGGAAUCACUGGGCGUAAAGGGCGCGUAGGCGGCCUGAUAAGUAGGGGGUGAAAUCCUGUGGCUUAACCGCAGGGCUGCCUUCUAAACUGUCAGGCUGGAGCACAGUAGAGGCAGGUGGAAUUCCCGGUGUAGCGGUGGAAUGCGUAGAGAUCGGGAAGAACAUCAGUGGCGAAGGCGGCCUGCUGGGCUGUUGCUGACGCUGAGGCGCGACAGCGUGGGGGAGCAAACAGG